rnacentral:rRNA from 1 species
CGGGGUGCAGCAGGCGCGAAACCUUUACAAUGCGCGCAAGCGUGAUAAGGGAAUUCCACGUGCAAGCUAUGCUUGCUUUUCUCAAGUCUAAAACGCUUGAGGAAUAAGGGCUGGGCAAGACCCGUGCCAGCCGCCGCGGUAACACGGGCAGCUCUAGUGGCGUUCGCGAAUAUUGGGCCUGAAGCGUGCGUAGCCGGUUAAACAAGUUUUUGGUGAAAUCCUGCGACUUAAUCGUGGGACCUGCCAGGAAAACUGUUUGACUUGGGGCCGGGAAGGGUCGGAGGUAUUCCAGGGGUAGGGGUAAAAUCCUAUAAUCCUUGGAGGACCAACGGUGGCGAAGGCGUCCGACUGGAACGGGCCCGACGGUGAGGCACGAAAGCUGGGGGAGCGACCCGGAUUAGAUACCCGGUUAGUCCCAGCCGUAAGUGAUGCAGGUUUGGUAUUGCGUGGCCUACGUGGCCCCGCAGUGCUGUAGGGAAGCCGUUAAACCUGCCGCCUGGGGAGUACGGCCGCAAGGCUGAAACUUAAAGGAAUUGGCGGGGGAGCACGGGGCGGGGGCGGCGGGCCGGGCGCGGGGGCGGGGG